CAAUUAAUUAAUAUAUUAGUAAGUAAUAAUUAUGACAAUAAUGCAUUAAGUACUUUUUAGUAAUUUGUUAUAAUCUAAUUCAUUCUGAUUCUGAUUCCAAGACAAAGUAAACAUAUUAAUGACAAUCCAACUCAUUCCGAUUUCAAUUCCUACAGUUCAAGUAAACAACUUAUUUUGAUUCUCAUUCCCUAUUCACAUUCCAGCUCAUUCCUAUUCCUUCCCAUUCCGAUUCUAGUUUAGUAAACGCAACAUUAGAUUAAUAUUAUUGAAAUUCAUUCGUAUUUAAAUAUUUAUUAUUUUUAUAUUAAAUUAUUUUAAAAUAAUUAAUUUAUAUAUAUUAAUUAUAUUACAAUAAUUAAAUAGUGUAAUAUUAUAUUAUAUUUUAUGUACUAUUUAAGUAUUUAUUAUUAUUCAUAUUAAAUUAUAAAUUUAUUAAUAAAUUAUAAUUUAAAAAUUAAAAAUAUAAAUAAAAAGUUAUAUAUUUAUUCACUUUUAUUAUUAUUAAGUAAAAGUAAAAGUAAAAAAAAAGGGACAAGCUAUCAAGCUAAUGCAGUAGUUGUUGCAUUAGCACGCCCCCCAAUAUCAAUCCCAAUGAGUCCUAAUUUCUCCCAAACAGUUUAAAUUAAUGCUGGACACGCACUUAAUGCUAUGUAAUACCACACGCCAAACACACCCUGACAUAAUUGGGAUGGGAUUAUAUUUAGUACUAUUUUAUAUUUUGUUUGGUGUAGCAUAGAAUUGAAUUAUAUUAC
rnacentral:lncRNA from 1 species